rnacentral:rRNA from 1 species
CUACAGAGGGUGCGAGCGUUAAGCGGAAUUACUGGGCGUAAAGCGCGCGUAGGCGGCUACUUAAGUCAGAUGUGAAAUCCCCGGGCUCAACCUGGGAACUGCAUCUGAUACUGGGUAGCUAGAGUUUAGGAGAGGGAAGUAGAAUUUCAGGUGUAGCGGUGAAAUGCAUAGAGAUCUGAAGGAAUACCAGUGGCGAAGGCGGCUUCCUGGCCUAAAACUGACGCUGAGGUGCGAAAGCGUGGGUAGCAAACGGGAUUAGAAACCCGAGUAGUCC